GACGAACGCUGGCGGCGUGCUUAACACAUGCAAGUCGAACGCGGCCCUUCUUCGGAAGGUGUCCGAGUGGCGAACGGGUGAGUAACACGUGGGCAACCUGCCCCCGGCUCUGGGAUAACCCCAAGAAAUUGGGGCUAAUACCGGAUAUGACCGCUGGCCGCAUGGUCGGUGGUGGAAAGGUUUUUCCGGCUGGGGAUGGGCCGGCGGCCUAUCAGCUUGUUGGUGGGGUAGUGGCCUACCAAGGCGACGACGGGUAGCCGGCCUGAGAGGGUGACCGGCCACACUGGGACUGAGACACGGCCCAGACUCCUACGGGAGGCAGCAGUGGGGAAUAUUGCGCAAUGGGCGAAAGCCUGACGCAGCGACGCCGCGUGAGGGAUGACGGCCUUCGGGUUGUAAACCUCUUUCAGCAGGGACGAAGCCUCACGGUGACGGUACCUGCAGAAGAAGCACCGGCCAACUACGUGCCAGCCGCCGCCGUAACAC
rnacentral:rRNA from 1 species